rnacentral:misc_RNA from 1 species
UUUCCGUAGGUGAACCUGCGGAAGGAUCAUUCCUAAUCAGUGAUUUAUGACACUUUUUUAAAUCUAUAUAUACCUUGUGUGCAAUGUUAGGGCUGAUCGUUCUCUCGAGAGCAUCAGCACCAAACAUCAACGAUUGCUCAACUUUUUGUCUGAAAAAUAUAAUAAAUAAAACAAUUCAAAAUACAACUUUCAACAACGGAUCUCUUGGCUCUG